CCUACGGGAGGCAGCAGUGAGGAAUAUUGGUCAAUGGACGAGAGUCUGAACCAGCCAAGUAGCGUGAAGGAUGACUGCCCUAUGGGUUGUAAACUUCUUUUAUAUGGGAAUAAAAUGUUCCACGUGUGGGAUUUUGUAUGUACCAUAUGAAUAAGGAUCGGCUAACUCCGUGCCAGCAGCCGCGGUAAUACGGAGGAUCCGAGCGUUAUCCGGAUUUAUUGGGUUUAAAGGGAGCGUAGGUGGAUUGUUAAGUCAGCUGUGAAAACUACGGGCUUAACUUGUAGACUGCAGUUGAAACUGGUUUUCUUGAGUGAAGUAGAGGUUGGCGGAAUUCCGAGUGUAGCGGUGAAAUGCGUAGAUAUUCGGAGGAACACCGGUGGCGAAGGCGGCCAACUGGGCUUUAACUGACGCUGAGGCUCGAAAGUGUGGGGAGCAAACAGGAUUAGAUACCCCUGUAGUC
rnacentral:rRNA from 1 species